rnacentral:lncRNA from 1 species
GGAGUAUCACUCUUUACACUUUUUACAUCACAUGCCUGUAUUUCGGGGGGAGUUUACUUUGUUAUGUGAUUAAAUUGUGGUUAUGAGAGCAUCACUGUAUUUUACAAAUUGCAUAUCUUUUUGAUGCAUCUCUGUUUUCAAAUCUGCAUAAAUAUCUGAAGCAUUCCUUUUUUGUUAAUGCACAAAGGGGGAGAGAUAUAUAUGAGAGUAUGAGAGCAAGUAUAAAUGCUUUGUGAAAGGGGGAAAAUAGUUUUUCUUAUACUUCAUCUGCUUGAUAUUAUGGUGCUCUUGUAGAGUAAUUGAACUGUGCUAAAUCUUUUUCUAUAUGCUACUACUUUGUUGUGUAUUGAACUGUACAAACAUGAUUAAGUUAUUAAUCAUGGUUGUUCAUCAUCAAAAACGGGGGAGAUUGUUGAGAUUGUUGACAACACAAACUCUAUAUCAAUCUAGUUUUUAAUGACGACAACACUAUGCUUAAUAACAAUACAUAUGUUGUUGUAUAACAUGUUCUUAUUCUGAACUGAUUGUUAUAUCUGAUGAACAUGUUUUGAUGUACUGUGAUGUAUGUUCUAUUUUGUUUGUGUGAUAUAUUUGUGGAACAUGCUUAUAUGAUUAUGUGCAAUGUGAAAUGCUUUAUCAAAAAUAUUUUACUGCACAUUCUGGAAAGCGAAAAAUCACAAGCACUU